AAAAAUCGAAAGAGACAAUGAAAAUCUCCAACAAGACAAAACAAGAUUCAGUGACCACCAUACCAAGAUCAAAGGGUCAACGACAUCAAAAAAAAACGAAAUAAGGUGGCUGCCAUUCCAAGAGACCUUGAAACACCAUCUUUAUCCUUACACCUGCAAAAGACAAAUGUGUGUGAAUUAACUGAACGUAGGAUUGGAGAUAAUCAUGAAGAAGGGGUGGGCUAAA
rnacentral:lncRNA from 1 species